rnacentral:rRNA from 1 species
UAAUACGGAGGAUCCUAGCGUUAUCCGGAUUUACUGGGUUUAAAGGGUGCGUAGGCGGGCGUUUAAGUCCGCGGUGAAAGUCUGCGGCUCAACCGUAGGAUUGCCGUGGAUACUGGACGUCUUGGAUUCGGUCGGGGCGGGCGGAAUGCGUGGUGUAGCGGUGAAAUGCAUAGAUAUCACGCAGAACGCCGAUAGCGAAGGCAGCUCGCCGGGCCGAAAUCGACGCUGAGGCACGAAAGCGUGGGGAUCAAACAGG